UACGUAGGGGGCAAGCGUUGUCCGGAUUUACUGGGCGUAAAGAGCUCGUAGGUGGUUUGUCGCGUUGUUCGUGAAAACUCACAGCUCAACUGUGGGCGUGCGGGCGAUACGGGCAGACUAGAGUACUGCAGGGGAGACUGGAAUUCCUGGUGUAGCGGUGGAAUGCGCAGAUAUCAGGAGGAACACCGGUGGCGAAGGCGGGUCUCUGGGCAGUAACUGACGCUGAGGAGCGAAAGCGUGGGGAGCGAACAGG
rnacentral:rRNA from 1 species